AAUGAACGCUGGCGGCGUGCUUAACACAUGCAAGUCGAACGGUAACAGAGAGAAGCUUGCUUCUUUGCUGACGAGUGGCGCACGGGUGAGUAAUAUAUAGAUAACGUGCCUCUUAGUCUGGGAUAGCCAUUGGAAACGAUGAUUAAUACUAGAUACUCCUUCUGAUUAUAAUUUCAGUCGGGAAAGUUUUUCGCUAAGAGAUCGGUCUAUAUCCCAUCAGUUAGUUUGGUAAGGUAACGGNUUACCAAGGCAAUGACNGGUAACGGGUUUGAGAANNAUGAUCCG
rnacentral:rRNA from 1 species